GAUGAACGCUGGCGGCGUGCCUAAUACAUGCAAGUCGAGCGAACGGACGAGAAGCUUGCUUCUCUGAUGUUAGCGGCGGACGGGUGAGUAACGCGUGGAUAACCUCCCUAUCAGACUGGGAUCACUUCGGAAAACCGUAGCUAAUCCCGGAUAAUCUUUUGAACCGCGUGGUUCAAAAGUGAAAUACGGUCUUGCUGUCUCGUCUAGAUGCAUCCGGGCUUCAUUGGCUAGUUGUUAAGGUAACGGCCUAUCAAGGCAACGCGGCAUGGCCGACCGGACGGGCUGGUCGGCAACACUGGAGGUGGGACGGGGUCCAUGCUACUAAGGGAGGCAGCAGUAGGGAACCGGACGCAAUGGUCGGAAGCCUGACGGAGCAACGCCGCGUGAGUGAUGAAGGUCUCCGGAUCGUAAAACUCGGUUAUUAGGGAAGAACAUAUGUGUAAGGAACUGUGCACAUCUUGACGGUACCGAAUCAGAAAGCAACGGCUAACUACGUG
rnacentral:rRNA from 1 species